rnacentral:tRNA from 1 species
GGGUGUGUGGUUCAAGUGCUAGAGUGUCUGCCUUGCAAGCAUAAGGCCCUAAGUUCAAACCUAGUACCACCA